AGUCUAUGGUGGGUUCUUUUUACCAUCUCUCUCUUUGCUUGCUUCAGGCUUAUGUCUUAUGGAGUCAAGGCAGAAAUACUUCUUUCCAGCUUUGGAAGCAAUGGCACUACCUCCCACCCCCAACUCUAGGCGAUGAGUCUGCAGCCAUAUCCUGCCACGUGGUCUCCUCAGGCCCAGCACAACCAUGUUUGAAUGGAUGAUGGAGAACGUCAACUAUGCAUAUCAAAUCUGAGGUCACCAGAAAGCUGUACCAAUGGGUGGGUCAUCUGUGAGCUGACAGAAACGAUCAGCUCUGGAGCCACCACCAACCAGAGAAUCAGCAGACAUAUAUUGUUAGUACCUGGACUUCAUGUGCCUGUGUGAGUUCCUGUGUGAAGCCAAGCAGUUUUCCCAGAAUGGGACCUGGGAGGGGGGGGUAGGUAAAUGUGGGGGUGAGACCAGAUAUUUGCAUCAUAAAAGGUCUCUCUGUUGGAGUGAAGGCUAAGAGUGAGCUAACUGCCUCAUAGAAAGCUUCUAGGUUUUUCCAUAGCUGGGUCUCCAUGGAAAUUAGUUUGCAGCAAGAGAGGAGCUAUUUUAAGGACAAGUAAAGACAGACCUGGUGUCAACAGCUCCUCUCUGUCGCUCUCAAGAAUCACUGCAGAUGCCCUGUAGGACCAGUCAGGAACAGGAACAGAUGCCAGCCGACUCCUGAGAGCCUCUGUCCCCUAUGGCUCGACCCAAGGUGGAGUCUCCUUACCCAAGU